UCGCCCAAGGAUGAGCCCGCGUAGGAUUAGCUUGUUGGUGAGGUAAAAGCUCACCAAGGCGACGAUCCUUAGCUGGUCUGAGAGGAUGAUCAGCCACACUGGGACUGAGACACGGCCCAG
rnacentral:rRNA from 1 species